rnacentral:lncRNA from 10 species
AGCCAGAGCUUGGGAUCGCUUUCUGCUAUUCAACGUCCUCCACCUCUGCCCCCCUCUCGCCCCAGCCGGUGACAGGCUGUUGCCCUGUGAUCUGCAGGUCCUGGGACGUGCACAGACAGCUAAGAUGCCAGGACAUUCCAGAAGGUGGGAAAGGCACCUGAGUAAUUUGACUCUCCUGCCUGGACCCAGCGUACAGAUGGGAUUGUGCUUCAUUGCUGGACCCAGCAUUUAGGCCCACUACCUAUGAGAUUGCAUGCUCCUGCCUGGGCUGUGCCCACAGUGACCUUGUGACAUAUAUCUGCAUCCAUGACCUAAAAGAUGUGACACUUCUUGCCUGCAACCUGCCCUGCACAGGAAAGAUUGCGACUUCUCCCUGGAAGCAGACACCAGGAGAGAACUGUAACAUAUCCCUGGAUGAGCACCCAGGUGAUGUGAUAUUCCUGCUUGGUUCUUUCCCUCAGGGAAGAUUGUGAGAUACCCUUGGC